CUCUGUCGGAGUCCGGUCACCGCAGACGCGAUUUCCCAGAGAUUUAGUAUUUUCGGAGGCAGUUUAUCCUCCGUGUUGCAGGUGGUAAACGCACCGCAAAACAUCAGACUUCACACCUCACCACCUCCUCUCCGCCGCCGCGUCCACCUGACGUCCUCCCUCUCCUCUCCAGGUAAAAAAUCCCACCUUUCUCCGCCGCCGCCCGGCCCCCUCUCCGCCACCCCUCCCAACCAUCUGCAUAAUCCACAGACAUCUUCUUGAUUCACAUACCAAUCGCAAGCAAAACGGUCGACGGAACUCUCAGGUCAAGCAUAUGGCUUCUCAUGUACCAAUCGACGUUGUCACGAAGGCGUUUGAUGGAAGUGGUUUCAUGCUCAUGUUACGAUUCAUCGCAAACCGAUUUGGAAAUGGCGAUGUCAUAUCGUGGGUUAACUUUGCAGGAGAAGAUCGCGAGGAGCUUUGCUUGGGCUUUAUGAUGAAGCCGACGGAAGGGGAAUCGACAAAGCUCCUUGUCGUGGAUGAACUUGUAGCUUUUCUUCCACUCGGAUGUGGCUGCGACGGAAUUCGAUAGCCAUUCCCUUCUUUUCCGAGUGCCACCAGUAGGCACAGCCACAAGCUACAGGCAGUAGUGCCAUUUGGGUUUCAGAGAAGGAAUUUUGGAAGAUUAACUGGGAGAUUUUACUUCUGCUUAUCUCAUCCAUGAAUUCUAGCAGUGACAACAUAUCUGUUAGAUUCAGUUCAUCAAGAAGCAGCAGAAGCUGUACACCUUAUUUGCAUGGCAUGGUCUUCAGUACAAGCUACAAAAAGCAAAGCCAAACUCUUCCUGAGUUCACUUCUUGUUGUGAAGGAGAGAUUAAUCUGAUAGUGAGGAGAUCAAAGCCAUAGAGCACCAGCCUCCCGAAGCAAUGGAGUCAGCUUGCCACCAAGAUGAAGCGCCAUGAUCCUAUCGGUGGAUCCAACGAGCUUUCCUCCGAUGAACACGACCGGCACCGAGGGGUUGCGGCUGAGCAGCUUGACCAGUGCCUUCUCCAUCUCUCUCCCUCUGGGGUCUUCGUCAAGCUCAUAAACAGCAGGAUUGACUCCCAGCUCGCAGAAGAGCCUCUUGAUGGUGUGGCACAUGCAGCAUGAGCUCAAGCUGAAGAUUACCACUGCCUUCUGCGAGGCCAACUUCAUCACCCUGUCCAUCCUGACACAAGCUCGGAUCAAAUGGAAUGUGGGAGCUCAGAUUCUUGUGGACUGAUCCAAAUUGUGGCUGAAGAUUGGGCAGAAUUCAGACACAGGUUUGAAGAGCGAGGAGAGGCAAUGGGGUAGAUAUGCUUUAAGAACUCAGGACUUGGUGGUUAAAGCUCCAGAAGCGUGAUGUUUUUAUAGGGCUAAAAGUGAGCCUGGGUGGUACUGUUAUUGAGCCGAAGGACUCUAAAUGCGGAAUCCUUUGGCUGGGAAAUUUUGGUGAAACACAUUGCUCAAGUAUCCUCUGACCAUUAGUUUGGAAGUAACCCUGGUUUACUGCAUAGUCUGUUGCAGGUCACUUCUCCUUGGAACAAAGUUGGAUAAAUGUAGCCA